ACCUGGCUGGCUCAGUGGGGAGGGCAUGUGACUCUUGAUCUGGAGGUUGUGAGCUCAAACCCCACGUCAGGCG
rnacentral:tRNA from 1 species